GACGGAAGGUGCAAGCGUUGCUCGGAAUCACUGGGCGUAAAGGGUGCGUAGGCGGCCCGGUCAGUCCGCCGUGAAAGUCCAGGGCUCAACCCUGGAAUGCCGGUGGAUACUGCCAAGCUAGAGUCCGGAAGAGGCGAGUGGAACUCCUGGUGUAGCGGUGAAAUGCGCAGAUAUCAGGAAGAACACCAAUGGCGAAGGCAGCUCGCUGGGACGGUACUGACGCUGAGACGCGAAAGCGUGGGGGAGCAAACAGG
rnacentral:rRNA from 1 species